rnacentral:lncRNA from 1 species
AUGGUAUAUCAUUUUGUAUUUAUACCAGUUAUCCAAAAAAAUGUGGGCGAUCCAGUUUUUCCAUGUCCUUGCCAGAAGCUUCCUUUCUCGGCACUGUCUCUAUGUUAGUGAUUUAGUGGCUAUACCUUGGUAAUCUGGCCUGUUUCACCUGAUACAACAUCUCAAAGGUUUAGUUAUGCUACAACAUGAAAAGCUGAUGUGUCUGUUUGUUUUAAAACAGGAAGUGAUAUUCUAUUGUGUGAAUGAAAUGCAUUUUGUUUAUGCCUUUAACAAUUAAUGGAAUAACAUGAUUAUUAGGGGGAAAAGGUCGUUCUGAAUCUGUUUUCAUUAAAUUAUUUACAAGCUUAGCCUCUCUUUUUAAAACACCAAGAAUUAUAAUGGGUGUGUGAUAUGCAUCUUUUUUUCAUGCAAAAAGCAAGAGCAAAUGAUUGUUCCAGUGCAGUGGGGUCAUCCCAGACCCAAAGAAGAGGCGGCAACCCCUGGCACCCAAGCAGCGAGUUUUUAUAUGGUUUCCAGGGGCAGAGCACCAGCAACUAGGCAAAAUAUUAUUAGUGGAACAGUGCACCCUUUAAACUGAUUGGUCUUUAGGGAAUGAGGGAACAAGGACUUCCCUUUUCUGAAGGUGGGCAACAGUGUGUCCUGCAGAAUGUGUCCCCACCUGCAGGUCAGUUCCUGCCCUGUGGUCUGAGAAAUGCUAAUUAGCCUCUCCCUUCCAGAGCAGUGUGUUUCAUGACCUUCCCAAAGUUUCUAAGCUGACUUUUUCAUUCCCCCCUUUUCUUUGUGCACGCUUCAAUCUGGAAGCUCUUGUGGACAGUUAUGCAGCUCAUAUCCCUGGUCCUCUGCACUUUGUUCUUGAUAUUUUUGUCUCAGUACCAUCAACUGUACCAUCACCUAUGUGAGUUUUAAUAAAAACAACUAAGCAAUUUAGAAUAUAAUGGAUCUUAUCACCAAUGUGGCAUGAAGAUUGUGUGUACCCCGAUGGGAUGAAUUACCAACAAAACAUGCAUAAUAAAAAGUGAGGAAAAACAGUAGGAAACAUAUCAUAAAGAUUAUUUUUAAAGCCUGGAUAAGGUCAGCUUGAAAACAAAACUUUCAAUAUUACCACAUCAGACUUGCUGUAAGCUUUCCUUUAUUUCUGACAAUGGCUAACUGUCCAAAUAAGGAAUCCACAUUGCCAGGUUUGCACUACAUUCAAAGUACACUCAAAGAUAAAGAAAUUAACUCAUUCAUUUACUGAACAAAUAUUUAUUGAGAGCCUAAUGGUCACUGGACUUGUGGAAAGCAUAUCUAUAUUCAGGAAAGGCUAAUUAACUUAGCUCAGGUCACAAAUUUACCAAAAGAAUGAUUAAACACGACAUUGCAGACUGAAAG